GAUACAUUUUGUCAAAAGUUCACCUUGCAUCACUCGCAGCUGAAACGCAUAUAGAAGCUGAGAUUGUCUCUGCCAUGUGCCUCAUCCUAAACCAGCAAAAGAUUAAAAGGUUUCAAGAAGAAGUAUACUGUCUCCCCCCUGAUAUUGUGAACAUGGCCAUUGGAAAUCAUCCACAAGGGGUAUUCUUACAACCUAAAACUAAUAAGCCAUUCAGGGUGGAAGACUACCCAAUGUUUAUACCCUUCUUGGACCUUAAAAAAAUUAGCAUCGCAUCGUUAUGUAAGUUUUCAUUUCUA